UACGACUACAUAUCAGGCAUAUCAAUAAGCGGAGGAAAAGAAACUAACAAGGAUUCCCUUAGUAACGGCGAGUGAAGCGGGAAGAGCUCAAAUUUGAAAUCUUCAAGGUUUUACCUUGACGAAUUGUAGUUUAAAGAAGUGUUUUCUGUUGAAGUUUCGGUAAAAGUUCUUUGGAAUAGGACAUCAUAGAGGGUGAGAAUCCCGUAUUUGACCGUUAUUUUCAGCUGUGUGAUACACUUUCAAAGAGUCGGAUCGUUUGGGAAUGCAGUCCAAAAUGGGUGGUAAAUUUCAUCUAAAGCUAAAUAUUGGCGAGAGACCGAUAGCGAACAAGUACCGUGAGGGAAAGAUGAAAAGAACUUUGAAAAGAGAGUUAAACAGUACGUGAAAUUGUCGAAAGGGAAGCGUUUGACACCAGUGUUGUUUUCUCGAAAAUCAAUUAAAAAAUGCUUGAUUUUGUGUUGUAUUGACCUUAAAAGCUUUCUUCACUUUUUUCAUGUCUAUUUUUAAUGCACUUUUCGUUUAACAAGUCAACAUCAGUUUCUUUUGUUGUAAAAAGGUCAUUGGAAGGUGGCUUUCUUUUCGGAGAAAGUGUUUAUAGCCUUUGACUCCUGCAAUCGGAGAGACUGAGGUCUGCAGCGUAGAUCCUUCUGGAUUAGAUUCACUUGUGCUAAGUUAUAGCUUUUCAUAGACAACUUGUUGACUAUGUUUUAGUCAUUGUAGCUUACUCGCUUAUGUAAUUUUACCUACGCUUAGGAUGUUGAACGCGCACAGAGUCUC
rnacentral:rRNA from 1 species